AAUAGAUACCCGGGUAGUCCACGCCCUAAACGAUGUCAACUAGUUGUCGGAUCUAUAUAAAGAUUAGGUAACGUAGCUAACGCGUGAAGUUGACCGCCUGGGAAGUACGGUCGCAAGAUUAAAACUCAAAGGAAUUGACGGGGACCCGCACAAGCGGUGGAUUAUGUGGAUUAAUUCGAUGCAACGCGAAAAACCUUACCUACCCUUGACAUGCUCGAAAUUUUGCAAAGAUGUAAAAGUGCCCGAAAGGGAAUCGAGACACAGGUGCUGCAUGGCUGUCGUCAGCUCGUGUCGUGAGAUGUUGGGUUAAGUCCCGCAACGAGCGCAACCCUUGUCAUUAAUUGCCAUCAUUAAGUUGGGCACUUUAAUGAGACUGCCGGUGACAAACCGGAGGAAGGUGGGGAUGACGUCAAGUCCUCAUGGCCCUUAUGGGUAGGGCUUCACACGUAAUACAAUGGCGCGUACAGAGGGUUGCCAACCCGCGAGGGGGAGCUAAUCUCAGAAAGCGCGUCGUAGUCCGGAUCGGAGUCUGCAACUCGACU
rnacentral:rRNA from 1 species